rnacentral:tRNA from 1 species
GCACGACUAGCUCAACCGGCAGAGCGCCGUCCUCUUAAGUCGGAGGUUCGCGGUUCAAGUCCGCGGUCGUGCUCCA